rnacentral:lncRNA from 1 species
UAAGACCUCUACCUACUAGUAGUGUACAGGAAGAACCAGACACCUCAAGGAGAUGUUUUCCAUAAACCUUAACAUAAAGCCUACUUCCAGUCCCAUCAUGCCCCAGGGACAGUUGAAAGAAAAGAAGCAGCUUUCCCCCCAAUGGACAAGAAUGAUGAAAUCACCAAAACAGGAAGUAAAUAUCCUAUUUUAUAUAAAAUAGAAAACAAGGUAUGAGUUUUCCAAAGUGCUUUUUGAAGGCAUUUGGGGACAAAUAUGAUAAAAUGACAGGAUCCAACAAAUCUCAGCUGAUAAAUUGUGAAACUCUUUAGAUUCAUGGUCAUCUUUUCCUCUUAAGGGAAUCAGGUACUCUUUAAAUUGUGUGAGGAAAAAAAUGUCAAUUGAUCAUUCUUGUGAAUAACCUUUUGGAAGUUCUAGAAUACACAUAAAAAAUAAAGUAGUCUUGAGAUCUGUUACUUCCA